rnacentral:rRNA from 1 species
UACGGAGGGUGCGAGCGUUAUCCGGAUUCACUGGGUUUAAAGGGUGUGUAGGCGGACUUUUAAGUCCGUGGUGAAAUCUCCGGGCUCAACCCGGAAACUGCCAUGGAUACUAUUUGUCUUGAAUAUUGUUGAGGUGGGCGGAACGGGUCAUGUAGCGGUGAAAUGCAUAGAUAUGACCCGGAACACCGAUUGCGAAGGCAGCCCACUAAGCAAUGAUUGACGCUGAGGCACGAAAGCGUGGGGAUCAAACAGG